UUAACAUGGGUAAUUACCCAUGGGUUUACCCAAACCCACUAAUAAUGGGUUGGGUUUUUACUCAUCUAAGAGUAAUGGUGUACCCAUGGGUUUUCAAUUAUAUAUAUAGAUUUUCACCAUUUUAAUUAAAUUAUAUAAAAUUUACAAAACAUUUUUUUCGUCAGAACCAAAAAAUGAAUUUUUCCGCCAAAACCGUAGCAUAAAAUUUCUCACAGAAACCAAAAAAGAGUUUUCCCGCCUAAACCGAAAAAAUUGAGUUUUUCUGCCGAAACCACAAAACCGAGUUUUCCCGCCAAAACCAUAAAACCAAGUUUUCUACCAAAACCGAAAAACCGAGUUUUCCCGCAAAAACCGUAUAAUCGAGUUUUCCGACUGUAAACCGCAAAAUCGAGUUUUCCCGCCGAAACCGGAAAACCGAGUUUUCCCGCCAAAACCGGAAAACCGAAUUUUCCCGCCAAAAUCGCUAAACCGAGUUUUCCUGCCAAAACCACAAAAACAACUUAUCAAAUUUUCUCGUUCAAACCAUAAAUGAAUUUUCCUGUCAAAAUAAUGUUUACUGCUAAAACCGCAAAAUGAGUUUUCCGGUUAAAAUUGUAAAAUAAUUUUUUUCCGAAAAAACGAGUUUUUCCGCCAAAAUCGUAAACGAGUUUUUACGCUAAAACAAGUUUUAUAUAAAAUUGCAAAAUCUUGUUAAUAUAUUAAAGCUCAUAUUAAUAAUAUUAAUAUUUUACAUGAUCUUCAGAGUAAAUAAGAUAAUACUCUGGGUACCCACGGGUAAACCUAUACCUUAUUGGGUUAUUUUUUUGGUUUGGAUUUCAACCUUGAUGUUUCUGGGUUUAAACUGGGCUGGGUUAUUUUACCCUACGUUAACAUCCCUAGUGGUGGGUGGUUGCCACUAGCAUCAACCCAAUAUUGGUUGGUGGUAAUGAAUGAAUCGCCCUGUUUAGAUUAUGUUUACGGAUUUCUUAAAAUAUUUUCUUUUUGUCUUAGAUAUUGUCUUAGGACGUCUCUUUCGAAUGCAACUUCAGCAACUCAUUUCUAUUUUGAUAAUGAAUGCGCUGCUGGUCAAAGUUAUCUAGAGAGGUAAGGACAACCACACCUUUCUUUAGUUACCACUUAGUAUGGCCUAAUUAGUUCAGCACACUAACUCAUACCGACUGUUGUUUAGGGUAUGCAGUUGUGAGGAAGGCUCAACUUUCAACCCUACGAAAUACGGUGGUCUGAAGAAGAUUGAAAGAAUGACGUUAGGAGAGCUUAAUGACUACCUGCUGAAAUAUCAACCUCAGGUAAACUGAGAACCCUUACAAAUUUGAGAUUCCUAAAUUCAACACGACAAAUAAGUGGCUUAACAAUAUCUCAAUAACUACACUCUACGGAGUUCAUUUUCACGGGUGUUGUGAGUGAAUAGAAACAUGGUGCUACCACAAAUUGCAGCAUGGGUUCUCAUCAUUUUCAUGUGCUCCCUCCAAUGAGGAGAAUGCAAUUAGUUAUCAGGUAAUCUACCCUCAACAAACUUUGUAACAAUUAAUUUACAAAUCCAAAACUAUCCUAUGCUACGAGAGUAAUACAUUACACUGGAUAAUAUAUGAUGUGUGUUGUGUUCAAAUGACCAUGUCUGAUACAACUGAUACUGCUGAAUUUGUUGCCUUUGACAUUGUAAUAACUAAACUAACUAAUAUCUGCGCAGCAAACCCCUGGUUCGUCUUUGUUAACACCUUGCGUUCAUACUUUUUUAAUUAUUGGAAAUGGUUGUUUAUAAAAUUACAUGAUGUUGCCUAUGCUGGUUGCUGUUGCAAAAGACCUCCAGGAUUGGGACCUCCCACAAUGCCUACAGGAGAUUGUUGGCAGCACCUUAAACUUCCAAUUGAGUCUAUCUCACUUCAACUUCAGUGCCAUACAUCAGAGUUUCGCUGUUUCCCGCAUUUUUUGACAACAACCAACGCCCACUUCAGCUUAAUUUUGAGUUUAAUGGUGGGAAUGAAAUGCCACAAUCAUGUUCUCUAGAGCUGUCCCGUGAAUCAGGGUGAAAGUGAUGGUAAUGGCGAUGUUGCAGGUGGAAGAGUGAGCCAUUAGAUCCAAGUCAAACAUCUAUUGAUGGGAGGAAUACAAGCGAGGCGGGACAGUGAAGGAGGAAGGUUGCUAUGGCAAGAAGCCACAGACUAACAAAGAACAAGUGGAGCUUCAGAUAGAAGACUGACAUGUCCGAUGUUUUUGUUUAAAAAUAAACCAAACACUAUGGUUUACUUUUCAUGGUGGACUUUUUUCUUAUUUGGAUUUUAAUUGGUUUCAUAUUUUAA